rnacentral:rRNA from 1 species
AAUGAACGUUGGCGGCAUGGAUUAGGCAUGCAAGUCGAGCGAGAAGUGUAGCAAUACACGGAAAGCGGCGGAAGGGAGAGUAAUACGUGGGAAUCUGCCCUUAGACCUGGGAUAGCAGCGGGAAACCGCUGGUAAUACCAGACAAUGUCCAUGGACCAAAGGUGUGAUUCCGUCUAGGGAUGAGCCCACGACCUUGUAGCUAGUGGGUAGGGUAAUGGCCUACCAAGGCGAUGAUGGGUAGCGGGUGUGAGAGCAUGACCCGCCUCACUGGGACUGAGACACUGCCCAGACACCUACGGGUGGCUGCAGUCGAGAAUCUUCGGCAAUGGGCGCAAGCCUGACCGAGCGAUGCCGCGUGCGGGAUGAAGGCCUUCGGGUUGUAAACCGCUGUCGAGGGGGAGCAACUUCCAUAGAGUUAUCUUUAUGGAUUGAGUGAUCCCUGGAGGAAGGACGGGCUAAGUUCGUGCCAGCCGCCCGCGGUAAGAC